rnacentral:rRNA from 1 species
GACGAAGGUGGCGAGCGUUGUUCGGAAUCACUGGGCAUAAAGCGCACGUAGGCGGCGACAUAAGUCGUGUGUGAAAUCCCUCGGCCUAACCGAGGAACUGCGCCCGAUACUGCGUUGCUUGAGGACCAAAGGGGUGAUCGGAAUUUCCGGUGGAGCGGUGAAAUGCGUUGAUAUCGGAAGGAACGUCGGCGGCGAAAGCGGAUCACUGGUUGGUUUCUGACGCUGAGGUGCGAAAGCCAGGGGAGCAAACGGG